rnacentral:RNase_P_RNA from 1 species
GGGAGGGCAGGUGACUGACGGUGCGCAAGCGCUGAGGAAAGUCCGCCCACUCUUGAUGUAUCAUCAUGGUAGCUAUUCUCGGAAAUCGGGAGGCCUUGAAAGAGGCGGCAACCACACAGAAACGAGACCGCGCAUUGGACGCGAUGAGGCUUGCGAAGCUUCCGGCAACGGAAGGGAGUACCAGCCGAGUUUGCCAAUGUGAUUGGAUGAAACGAUGAGCCCUAGCUGGUGCAAGUCCGUAUGGACGCUUAGUUGAAUGUCACCAUGAACCAUCGCAAUGACGCUUGACGUUGUUGUUUGGGUUCUCACAAAAGGCGGCUUACGUCCUCCC